UUUUGACAUACUGAACAAAAGAUAGUUUGACAAAACUAAGUUGUGUGUAGGUGUCGUGCAGGGUUAAAAUGUUAAGUGCCAUGUUUAUACCGGCUCAUCAUACAUGUCGUCCAUUCCCCGUGAACAUGUAGCAGUUAGGGUUCUGGUCCCAUCACUGUAGACGCUGCUGUCACUUCCUGGGUUCUCAUCCCUUUUCACAGGCAUGCAUGAUAUUUACUGGCUUUUAUUCCCUUAAUUAUAGAAACCGUUUCUCAUUUCUGUAUAAUUUCUUCCUCCCUUUGGAAAAACCCAAGUUUAAUUUUCACAGGACAUAUGUGAACCACUCUGUAGUCCGAUGGUCACUGUUCUGAACAGGGGGUGUGGAGAAUUAGAGUUGUUUCAGAGCUGCUGUGGGACUCUGGAGAGGUCAUUUCUCAAGGCCCAUCACGAUGCUUUCUGUGGCUGAUGUUCAUGGACGGCUGUUGCCUCCUGCAUAGGAUGGGUUUCUCUAUGAUGGGGAGUCUCUGUUCACUAAUUACAUGAUUGUGGUUAAAUAGAAUCGGUAGUAAGUCCUA
rnacentral:lncRNA from 10 species